rnacentral:rRNA from 1 species
AUUGAACGCUGGCGGCAGGCCUAACACAUGCAAGUCGAACGGUAACAGGAAGAAGCUUGCUUCUUUGCUGACGAGUGGCGGACGGGUGAGUAAUGUCUGGGAAACUGCCUGAUGGAGGGGGAUAACUACUGGAAGCGGUAGCUAAUACCGCAUAACGUCGCAAGACCAAAGAGGGGGACCUUCGGGCCUCUUGCCAUCGGAUGUGCCCAGAUGGGAUUAGCGAGUAGGUGGGGUAACGGCUCACCUAGGCGACGAUCCCUAGCUGGUCUGAGAGGAUGACCAGCCACACUGGAACGGAGACACGGUCCAGACUCCUACGGGAGGCAGCAGUGGUGAAUAUUGCACAAUGGGCGCAGGCCUGAUGCAGCCAUGCCGCGUGUAUGAAGAAGGCCUUCGGGUUGUAAAGUACUUUCAGCGGGGAGGAAGGGAGUAAAGUCAAUACCUUUGCUCAUUGACGUUACCCGCAGAAGAAGCACCGGCUAACUCCGUGCCAGCAGCCGCGGUAA